AAGUCAAUGGCUUCCCAUAAUGCUAGGGUUUCGGCCAUGAGGGGAGAAGAAGCUUUGAUCUCCUUAACCACGCCUUCCACCAACCUCCCUUCCGAAUCUCUGCACACACAAGCUAUGGAGUUCCUCAACAAACCAGAUCUGGUAUUUUCGUGGGUUUUCUGUCCAGCACCCCUCUGAUUCGGUCCUUCUUUGCGCCGAGAUCUCGGUUCCUCUCUUUCUUCUCUGCUCCGUGGACCGGCGUUGCCUCUGGUGGCCAACCCAACAAACCCCUGUUUCAGCUCACCGCUCGGUCGAAGACGCCUGUGCUCUGUUCCUUUCUCCGAUCGUUCCUCCUCGCUGACGCUCUCCGCUCGGGUUGGAGGUCUUAGAACGUCACUUGGCCUCCCAGCUGCAGAUCCACCGGUUCUUCCCUCAGUUCGUCCUUCAUAGUGCUUUCCCGAGGGGUUCAUCGAGGAAGGCUCUGCACCGGUCCCUGUUCUGCUACUGAUUUCAGCUUGCUCUUGUGCAGCAAGCCGUCUAUUGCCCCCACUCCAGGCGCCAUUGAGUUCCGAUCGCAGAGUCUAGGAUGGCCGACGCCUCUGGUUCCCUUCCAAUCGAGGAUCAUUUAGAUGCGCCGAAUGAUGGUACUUUUUGAAGAAAACUUCAUCUAAGAAACUAAAAGGAGGUGGGGAUAACUACACAAAUAGUCAUUGAACUUUGCUUUAUUACAUAAUAUCAUCCAUGAAUUUUUAAUUUGUUUAAUGUGGUAUUUAAACUUUCGCUUAAUAUGCAAUAUUCCUCAUAAACUUUUAAUUUGUUCAA